AGUGUCAUACCACUUCGAAAUUAUAAAUAACAAUUCAAUUAGGUAUACAAAAAGCUCAAGAAAAUCAUUGACAGCAUAAAAACGUUCAACUCAUUUAGUCGCACAUAAUUGUUUUAAUGAUUUUUUAGUUAUACAUUUUUGACUUUCUUCGAUUUGACUUUUCAAUACAUCUUUUCGCUUUGGAAGAUGAAUAAGAAAUAGCAAGUUUCAAACAUGAACAGCACAAUGAACAAACGUCGCAAGCGGAUAACUUUGGUGAAUAAGAGAUUGAGCUCCGUAACAUUGACCAGACAUAGAAGCACAUCCAUCGUAACUCUGUCCUCUAAGUAGUAUCUGUUGUAGGCACAAACUGAAGAAUUCUUCCUUGAUAAUCAUAUUUUCAACAUCUAAAUAUCGAACACACAAAGUUACUUGUUCGCUUCCACCAAUGUCGGCCGUUUCAUCAGCAAGUAUUUUGAAACAUCUUUGGGCAUUUAUGUUUGUUACGAUUUUAUUUAAAAUAAUUUGAUUACAGGAUUCAAUUAUUUCAUUUUGAAGUGUUUCACUUGU